rnacentral:rRNA from 1 species
AGUGAACGCUGGCGGCGUGCUUAACACAUGCAAGUCGAACGAGAACGGGAUAUAGCUUGCUAUAUUUGUCAGCUAAGUGGCGCACGGGUGAGUAAUGUAUAGAUAACCUGCCCUCUAGAAAGGAAUAACAGUUGGAAACGACUGCUAAUGCCCUAUAUGCCUUUAAUACAUAAGUAUGCAAGGGAAACGCUUUAGUGCUAGAGGAUGGGUCUGUAUGGUAUCAGCUUGUUGGUGAGGUAAUGGCUCACCAAGGCUAUGACGCCUAACUGGUUUGAGAGGAUGAUCAGACACACUGGAGCUGAGACACGGUCCAGAUUCCUACGGGAGGCAGAAGUGGGGAAUAUUGCACAAUGGACGAAAGUCUGAUGCAGCAACGCCGCGUGGAGGAUGACACAUUUCGGUGCGUAAACUCCUUUUAUAUAGGAAGAUAAUGACGGUACUAUAUGAAUAAGCACCGGCUAACUCCGUGCCAGCCGCCGCAGUAA